rfam:Brassica rapa chromosome A7, whole genome shotgun sequence.
AUUCAAAUGAUGAGAUUUGAUCUAAAAUUCCCACGAGUGUCUUCUGAGACUGUGUCUCGAUUGAUGUACCGAUCGCUUUUCUCUGAUGAAU